GCCCGCAUCCCCUGCAAUGGCUUUUCUAAAAGGAAAAAAUCUCCGGCAUUGGCGACGCCGGCGGUGGGUGACCAGAGCCAGCCGCCGACGCUUCUCCCUGUUCACGCCCUUCGUCCCACGCGUUCAAGAACAUAAAUAUGGCUUGGUGUAACUGCAAAUUGGGCAGCUUUUCCAGGGUAUGGGGUAAAAGGUCGAGCCUUUACUGAGGUCCAUAACACUGUAUCUUCCAUCAGGACAGUCAAUCAGCGCUAUCAUGGAUGUUUUCGUCCUUUGCAUACACAUGCUGAAGUACUUUUUGUUGGCAGAUGGAAAGGAUCCAUGAAUCAUGAUGCCAGAAUUAUCUUACGGACGAUUCUUAACCUCUCUUUUCCUGUUACUAUAUGUUACAGGUAAAUAAUUCAGUGUCCAAGUUGCUGCAGUCUGUAACGCUGAAUGUUCUACUGCAUAUGGUUUUUAUAUUUAGACGAACUUGGUUUACCUGAAACUGAUUUCUAUUUCCUGGACAUUUUAAACUAAUUCGCUAUGGAAUCUGUAGGUCUGUUGUUUGCUUGUCCUAUCAAGGUAAUUUAAUAAGCUAACAGAAUCAUUGAGCGACUCUGCUUUUGAGUGCAUAUGUCACUGUUUUAUUUAUCACGAACUUAUAUGCUGUUCCAUUUGUCACACAAGGCUAUAUACUUGACCAUUGGGACAAUGCAUCCUUUCUUCAAUUGGUCAAAGGUUGAUUUGAAAGAAAAGAAAGGCUAUGGUAGAUGAACAGUGAUCUAUGAGCACACUGCUACUGAUGAUCGAUAAUUUGAUGCUGCUUCCUGUGUUUCAUUUAAUAUUCGAGCUAGUUGCUAGCUCUGAUUGUAUGGUUUCCAUCUCCCUUGCCCACUUCUCUGUCUAGUUUCCACCAUAAAAUAGCAUCCAGUGACUGGGCUGCAAAUAUAUCUUUAAGACAUAUAUACUCCCUCUGUCCCAUAAUGUAAGACGUUUUUUGACACUAGUGUUGUGUCAAAAGACGUCUUACAUUAUGGGACGGAGGGAGUAGUUUUUAGUUAAGGUGAUAUGAUGACAGGGAGUUUGUAUCUACAACUAAAAUUUGAAUUAGUCAAGCAUAUUUACUGAAGCAAAGUUACACCACGUAAAGCAUGGUAUUGUGUGUUCUUAGUCGCAUCAGUAGAGGGAAAGGAUGUCUAACACUCAUGCUCUUCUGUGGUUGGGUAGUUAAGAGGAAAAGGCAAUAAAGCUUCCGGUGUCUAAUCUCUUUCGACAUGUGCUGGCAUUCCAACGAAGCAUAAGCCAGUAUCAUGGUAUUUCCAAUAUGAGGUUGCAUUGCGUCUGAGACCGAGUUUUCGAAGGGUGAAGCCUGCCUAGGACAAGAAUGCACAUGUUUCUUCUUGUUGUUCCAUGUGAUCUCUGCACUUGCUCUGAAGAAAGGUGAUGUGAUUGCUUUGUGAACUACCUAAGCCUAAUCCCAAAUGCAAAAAGGGAGCUGGCAUGGUUCUUCCCUUGCAUAAUUAUCUUUGUCAGCUCAGAAUAUUCCUGCAGGUUUUCACUACUUCCAAAUGUCUUUUUACUCUGCACAGCACACACUAUUGCAGCUUUGAUAUUUGUUUUUCUCCAAGAUGUUAUUUCUCCCGGUGUUAUGUUCUCCUGCCUCAAGAUCUUAACUUUGGGAUGGAAAUCACAAAAAUAAUAGCCUUCACAUGUCCCUGCCGUUAGCAAUGCUGAGUUUCUGACUGUAUCAGAUGAAUCUUUGUACGCUUCGUUUGUCAAGUUGAGAUUCCUUCAUAUGUUUUGCAUUAUUAAGAUUUUAAGUAUUGAAAUAUGUAUUGCUAUCCUUGUAAUACUAAUUGGGUAUCAUUAAAAACCGAGGUUUGUGUUCUUUGUCUGACAGAUGUUUAAAAUCCCUGCUUUUGAAGUAGAUGCAGCACCUAAGAAAGGUGAAGGCGUGAUGACCUUGGACCCCACUCAAACAGGGACCAUCCAUAGUCUACAUGUAAUAGCAUGUUUGGGCUGCCCUGCAAUAUCUGAAUGCUUCUGGUACGUUUGGUAUUCAAUCAAGUAGAUUGUGUCAUCACAAGUUUAAGCCAGGACAUCCUAUACCGUUAUGGAUUUAUUUUUCCAUAACGAGUCACUAAUCCGUAGUGGUAAGUACAAGUACAUAUUUGCGUGCUUGAUUAAAAGAUAUUUUUUUCACCUUUGCGAUAAUUGCAUGAUUGUGAUCCCUUCUUUUUCUGUAUAUGAUUGUUGCACUUUAGCUUUUCCCCUAUCACACUCGGUCAAUUGUUGUUUAGGAGUCUAAAUCGAUAUAAAUCCAUGUCCACACAUUA